CCUAGCGAUGUGCUUCGACUCGGUGUGGUUAAGGAUUUCACCAUUGAACUUACAGUAGAGAACAAUGCCGAGGACUCAGCUUACACAUCAAGGAUAACCCUGAAAUAUCCUGAGGCCUUGAACUAUAUCGGAGCAAAUGCGGGCGUGGAAUGCGACAGAAAAUCCUCAGAUAAUAACACCGAGACUGCUACUUGUGGCAUAGGUAACCCGCUACUAGGGAAGUCCAAGAAAUCUUUUGGAAUCAAGUUUUCACCCGGUAGCGUGAAAGAGGACUUUGUUGUACAAGUGGAAACAUCAAGGUAUAUACCAAAAUGUCGCUUAUUAUCAUUCGUGAGCUGUGCACAGCAGGCAUCCCAAUAUUAACUCAUUCACAUUUUCCCGUGGUGGCGAACUAGCUAUUGAGAUGCCUUUACGAGCCAUAAGCAACUUCUUCUUGGACAAUCGAUCAUCGUGACAGAAUUUGAACAAAAACUAGGCGGACUUUGGGGAUUCUUGAUUUCAACCAAUCGUGAUAUAUAGAUAUGGACUGAAAAAGGAUAGAAACUGAUCUUUUAGUU